rnacentral:rRNA from 1 species
AAGGCUUGAUGGUUACUUUGAAAGUUACAAGAGACAAAGUCCCAGCAGUAGCGGUCAUACUAUUGAAGAGCCGAGUGUUAUCCAUCCAUACCAGGCGUAAAAAGCGUUCGUUCU